CGUCUUCUAGCACGCCGACCAGGAGGCCAGCUGCCGUCUAUGGCCGCAAAUGACGAGACUGUUUGACCAGUCGACCAGUUGUUUUACCAGAGUUGACCAGUCAUCCAGAGUGACCACGGACCACCUUGGAAAAUGUUGACAAGCCUCGAACCUGUUGUGCUUCUCAAGCAACAAGCAGUUAAGUGUUCAAUGACAUUUUGCUGCGAGACUGUUGCCACUGUUUUUUUAUCCCUGACUGCGUUUCAAGACGCCAAGGCAUUGUUUCAUGCCUUGCAUAGUGGUUUUACACUUUUGCAACACAAGGACGAAGGAAUGCAAGCGAUGCUGUAUCCUGUGAAGGAGUUCCUGGUGAAUUUAUUUUUUUUUUUUGCUCUUUUACUGUUUCGUUUUCUAAUAUAUCUUUACUGUGCUUUGCCACACCUCCUGUUAUGGCCAUUCCUGGUGAGAAUGUACGUGUUGUAAAUAAAUGCUUUUUCUCUUGUAUU